UACGGAGGGUGCAAACGUUGCUCGGAAUCAUUGGGCGUAAAGCGCACGUAGGCGGUCCGGUAAGUCGGGUGUGAAAUCCCUCGGCUCAACUGAGGAAGUGCAUUCGAAACUGUCGGACUUGAGUAUGGAAGAGGGUCGCGGAAUUCCCGGUGUAGAGGUGAAAUUCGUAGAUAUCGGGAGGAACACCAGUGGCGAAGGCGGCGACCUGGGCCAAUACUGACGCUGAGGUGCGAAAGCGUGGGGAGCAAACAGG
rnacentral:rRNA from 1 species